rnacentral:rRNA from 1 species
UUGACCUCGGAUCAAGUAGGAGUUACCCGCUGAACUUAAGCAUAUCAAUAAGCGGAGGAA